rnacentral:rRNA from 1 species
GAUGAACGCUGGCGGCGUGCCUAACACAUGCAAGUCGAACGAGAAGUGAAUACGGACGCCUUCUGCCGGAUGGCUUUUUUUUGACUGGCGGAUGAGUGACUAACGCGUAGGUAACCUGCCUCAUACAGGUGGAUAACAGUAGGAAACGACAGUUAAUACCGCAUAUGAUUACAGCACCGCAUGUUGCGGGGAUAAAAACUCCGAUCGCAUGAGAUGGAGCCGCGUUUGAAUUGGCGGGUGGCGGGGUAACGGCCCACCAAAGCGACGAUCGCUAACCGAUAUGAGAGGAUGGCCCACCACAUUGGGGCUGGGACACGGCCGGAACUCCUGGGAAAGGCAGCAGUGGGGAAUAUUGCACGAUGGGGGAAGGCAUGAUGCAGCGGCGCCGCGUAAGUGAAGAAGUAGUUCAGUAUGUGAAGCACUGUCAGAAGGGAAGACUAUGACGGUACCUGAGUAAGAAGCCCCGGCUAACUACGUG